rnacentral:rRNA from 1 species
CGUGCAUGGUUGUCGUCAGCUCGUGUCGUGAGAUGUUGGGUUAAGUCCCGCAACGAGCGCAACCCCUAUUGUUAGUUGCCAUCAUUCAGUUGGGCACUCUAGCGAGACUGCCGGUAAUAAACCGGAGGAAGGUGGGGAUGACGUCAAAUCAUCAUGCCCCUUAUGACCUGGGCUACACACGUGCUACAAUGGUUGGUACAACGAGUUGCGAGUCGGUGACGGCGAGCUAAUCUCUUAAAGCCAAUCUCAGUUCGGAUUGUAGGCUGCAACUCGCCUACAUGAAGUCGGAAUCGCUAGUAAUCGCGGAUCAGCACGCCGCGGUGAAUACGUUCCCGGGCCUU